rnacentral:rRNA from 1 species
AGAGUUUGAUCCUGGCUCAGAACGAACGCUGGCGGCAGGCCUAACACAUGCAAGUCGAGCGCGCCCUUCGGGGUGAGCGGCGGACGGGUUAGUAACGCGUGGGAACGUGCCCAGAUCUAAGGAAUAGCCACUGGAAACGGUGAGUAAUACCUUAUACGCCCUUCGGGGGAAAGAUUUAUCGGAUUUGGAUCGGCCCGCGUUAGAUUAGGUAGUUGGUGGGGUAAUGGCCUACCAAGCCUACGAUCUAUAGCUGGUUUUAGAGGAUGAUCAGCAACACUGGGACUGAGACACGGCCCAGACUCCUACGGGAGGCAGCAGUGGGGAAUCUUGGACAAUGGGGGCAACCCUGAUCCAGCCAUGCCGCGUGAGUGAUGAAGGCCUUAGGGUCGUAAAGCUCUUUCGCCUGUGAUGAUAAUGACAGUAGCAGGUAAAGAAACCCCGGCUAACUCCGUGCCAGCAGCCGCGGUAAUACGGAGGGGGUUAGCGUUGUUCGGAAUUACUGGGCGUAAAGCGCGCGUAGGCGGAUUAGUCAGUUAGAGGUGAAAUCCCAGGGCUCAACCCUGGAACUGCCUUUAAUACUGCUAGUCUUGAGUUCGAGAGAGGUGAGUGGAAUUCCGAGUGUAGAGGUGAAAUUCGUAGAUAUUCGGAGGAACACCAGUGGCGAAGGCGGCUCACUGGCUCGAUACUGACGCUGAGGUGCGAAAGUGUGGGGAGCAAACAGGAUUAGAUACCCUGGUAGUCCACACCGUAAACGAUGAAUGCCAGUCGUCGGCAAGCAUGCUUGUCGGUGACACACCUAACGGAUUAAGCAUUCCGCCUGGGGAGUACGGUCGCAAGAUUAAAACUCAAGGAAUUGACGG